AUGAAGACUAUCACAUAUUGUGAUAAAUUUUGUGAAAAAUAAGAUUUGAAUCCUUAGCUUUCUACGCUGCCAAGCUUAAAAAGGCUUGGUGGUGCCAAGCUUAAAAAGGCUUGGAAUAGCCACCGGACCAAAGGCUCAAUGGCUAAUUAGGCGCACUCAGUGGAAGGAAUUAUAAGUUGUAAUGGGAUAUUUUAGAAUUUUGAAAGAUGAGAUGUGUACCAAAGAAAAAGCCUAAUCAUUUUUUUUUUUGGAAAAAAAAAAUCUAAAUGGAAAGUUCCUGGUGAUGGCCGAAAGUAUCUUAUCUUGCUGAAAACCAAGACAGCACAGCUACAAGGAUGUAAACAUGUGUAAUUACACUAAGAACGACAAACCAGUAAUUCCUUGAACCAAUAUUCCGCUAAGUCAGUGCUUAAUAUCUUAGUCACUUUCAUGUGAAUGGUGACGCCCAUUCCAUUCAAGUUGCAACAUGGCUAGUUAUUAGAGGUCAUAAAUCGGGAUCUGGCAUCGUGCAAACAAGAGUUACUGCAAACUUUUCAAAGUUAAUCGAGCAUUCGAACGAGGGGAAAAAAGGUUAAUCGAGCAUUCGAGCUUUUUAGCUUCCCAAUCAGCACUUGUAAUUGCUAAGAGUCUCUCAAAUCCUUGGAACUGUUGAGGUGUCGAGCAGGGUAACGGUGAGCAAUACUGGGUUUCGUGGGGGGUCAUCACUUCUUAGUACCAGCGGGCCUACUGACUUGUCCUUUUGGGGUUGUCAUCCCACAUCGGUUCUUGGGGGGGGGUUUGGGGUUGGGUUUAUAAGUCCCUGGAAGGACCUCAAAAGUUGCCGGCUUUUGAGGUUUCUUCUGGGAUUAGAUUUAUAAUUCUAACUUCCGUCAAAAAAAAAAAAAAAGAGCAAUAAUAUAUCAUUGUUACUUUAAAUUCA